rnacentral:sRNA from 1 species
AGAAUCCAGACGCUAAGGAAAAUCCCUAAGCAGAGAUUUUCUGUUGGAUGCUAAAAGCAAGGAAUAAAAGUUGAAAAUUUGGAAAAUGUCUCAACGCCGUCACCAGCGCCACUCGAGAGUCAUUUCUAGUUCAGCAGUUGAUACUACAUCGGUGGGAUUUUGCCCAACAUUCAAGAAAUUUAAGAGGAACAAUGAUGAGUGUCGGGCAUUUGUGAAGAGAGUCAUAAUGAGCCGUUUCUUUAAGAUAAUUAUGAUUAGCACUGUCACAUCGAAUGCCUUUUUUAUGGCCUUGUGGACCAGUUAUGACAUAAGAUACCGCUUGUUCAGACUUCUUGAGGGUGGGUGCUCAGUCACAGCUCUUCCAGUGAAUGAAUGGAUUUGCAUGAUAGUCAAGAUAAGUCAAUUUUGAUGGGAAGGAAACACUUAGAUGACACAAAGAGUACUUCUUGGUAAAAACAAAGCCAUUAGAGUUGUAGAUGCAUGAAAAGAAUUUGAAGAAGAUUGGUUCAUAAAGUGUAAAAGAAUAUUCUUCAGAAACAGAUUGAAUAUGU